GAUGAAGAACGUAGUGAAAUGCGAUAAGUAAUGCGAAUUGCAGAAUUCCAGUGAGUCAUCGAAUCUUUGAACGCACAUUGCGCCCUUUGGCAUUCCGAAGGGCAUGCCUGUUCGAGCGUCAUUAUCACCCCUCAAGCCCCCUUGGCUUGGUGUUGGACGGUUUUGGUGGGGACGUGCAGCCUCUCACCCCUCCUAAAGACAAUGACGGCGGCGUCGUUGGGACCCCCGGUACACUGAGCUUCUCACCGAGCACGUGCUGGAAGGGUCUUGUGGCCACGGUCUGCCUCCCCUCUGGGAGAAACGGAUUUCAUCCACCAAGGUUGACCUCGGAUCAGGUAGGGAUACCCGCUGAACUUAAGCAUAUCAAUAAGCGGAGGA
rnacentral:misc_RNA from 1 species